UUACUUGGGGCGUAAAAGUCGCAUGCAGGUGGUUUUGUUAAGUCAGAUGUGAAAAGCCCGGGGCUCAAACCUCGGAAAUUGCAUUUGAAAACUGGCAAAACUAGAGUACUGUAGAGGGGGGUAGAAUUUCAGGUGUAGCGGUGAAAUGCGUAGAGAUCUGAAGGAAUACCGGUGGCGAAGGCGGCCCCCUGGACAGAUACUGACACUCAGAUGCGAAAGCGUGGGGAGCAAAACAGGAUUAGAUACCCUGGUAG
rnacentral:rRNA from 1 species